rnacentral:rRNA from 1 species
CCUACGGGAGGCAGCAGUGGGGAAUAUUGCACAAUGGGGGAAACCCUGAUGCAGCGACGCCGCGUGAGGGAGGAAGUAUUUCGGUAUGUAAAGCUCUAUCAGCAGGGAAGAAAAUGACGGUACCUGACUAAUAAGCACCGGCUAACUACGUGCCAGCAGCCGCGGUAAUACGUAGGGGGCAAGCGUUAUCCGGAUUUACUGGGUGUAAAGGGAGCGUAGACGGCUAAUCAAGUCAGAAGUGAAAACCCAGGGCUCAACCUUGGGAGUGCUUUUGAAACUGAGGAGCUAGAGUGGAGGAGAGGUAAGGGGAAUUCCUGGGGUAGCGGUGAAAUGCGUAGAUAUUAGGAGGAACACC